rnacentral:lncRNA from 1 species
GUCUUAGGCAGGACCUUCUGCUCCUCCUCAUACUGACAAGGAGGUUUGCUCUGCUUGCCCCGGGCUGAAUAGCUUACAUUUUACCAAGCAGAUGAACCUAGGGUUUACAGGUUUAACAUUGGGAGCUGGUGGCACAGAGAAGCAGGGACCAUGGCUAAUUCUAGCUGGGGUGGAAUGGAGAAGGCAGAAACAGUGUUUCUGAGGCAACACGGAAAACAGGACACUUGGCUUCCAGAGUCAGAGGUGAUGGCAGGACAAGCCACAGCAGAUGGCACCCGGCGACUACAGUUACUUAAGUUCUACCACUCAGUGGUUCUUAUCUGUGUAUAAACUGUUGAUUGGCCGACAUUCUGGCAAAUCUAUGAAUGAGUCAGUGUCUUUUUACUCUUCUUUGUGUUUAUUUUUAGCUGAAUGUGCUGUCACAGUUUAGGUCAUAAAUAGCAUCCCGUGUGCUAAGGCUUGGUCACCAGGCUGAAGCUCUGCGGGGAGCUGACAGAAUCUUCACGAGGAGGGACUUAGUGGAAGAAAGUUAGGCCAUUAGGGCCUUGCCCUUGAAGGGGGAUAUGGAGUCACUGGCCUCUUCCUCUCUCCCUUCCUAGCAGUCAAGAGCUGAACAGAUGACCUCUGCCGCACGCUUCAUCGCCAGCCCAGAGCAAGAGGCCGGUCAAGAGGAGACUGAAACCGUGAGCCAAAAUAAAGCGGACAUUCCUCCCCUUAGGCUGAUUUAACCUCAGUCACUUGUCACAGCAAUGGAGAGUCAAUGAACACUCGCCAUACAGUUUUCUUUCUUUCUUUCUUUCUUUCUUUCUUUCUUUCUUUCUUUCUUUCCUCUGUGAAGCCUUCUCUUCAGGGACAAUUUGGACCUCUAGAUCUGUAUGGUUUUGGGGUGUUUCCCAAGCCAAGUAAAUAGUGAACAAUUCUUCACAGAUGGUCUCAGGCACUUACAGAGAAACCAAUUUAACUUAUUAUUUUUCUUUUGGGCAGUGCCAGAUCUGUGCAUACCAGGCAAUUGCUCUAUCAGAGCCAAGCCUCAGCUUUCCAUCAUCCUGGUAAAGAGUGCAUGCUCAGCCAGAACUUCUUUCUUAGGGCUGCAACUUAUUGAAACACAACCCCUGAGGGCUGAAUAAUUAUUCUCAUCUUUCAGGUGAGAGUACAGGUUCUAAAAGCACCAUGUCUGU